UACGUAGGGUGCGAGCGUUAAUCGGAAUUACUGGGCGUAAAGCGUGCGCAGGCGGUGAUGUAAGACAGGUGUUAAAUCCCCGGGCUUAACCUGGGAACUGCAUUUGUGACUGCAUCGCUGGAGUGCGGCAGAGGGGGAUGGAAUUCCGCGUGUAGCAGUGAAAUGCGUAGAUAUGCGGAGGAACACCGAUGGCGAAGGCAAUCCCCUGGGCCUGCACUGACGCUCAUGCACGAAAGCGUGGGGAGCAAACAGG
rnacentral:rRNA from 1 species